CCUAGAAGGAGUGGAAAGAGCAGGCCCUGGUCCACGUGGAGGGGGUGGUCACCAGCCCCAAGGCCUGGUCAUUCCCGAGACAGGACAUCCGUGUGGCUUUGAGAGCUGUGUCCUCAAACAGCAGCCAGGUGCUGGCCCACCUCCAGCUGGCCGAGGCUAGGAGUUUCUGACCAGCCUCUGACCCAGUGGUGACCACGCUCCACGGGUUCCCAGUGCCUCGUGCCUGCAGGAUCCCUGAGGGUCUGACCUGUGAGCUUGCAGGGUGGGGCCCCUCAUCCUCUCAAUCGCUGAUGCCACCUGCCCCCGUAUGCCCUCAGGAAUGUGCCCCCGGCUUCUAUCGGGACGUCAAAGGUCUCUUCCUGGGCCGAUGUGUCCCUUGUCAGUGCCAUGGACACUCAGACCGCUGCCUCCCUGGCUCUGGCAUCUGUGUGGACUGCCAGCACAACACCGAAGGGGCCCACUGUGAGCGCUGCCAGGCUGGCUUCGUGAGCAGCGGGGAGGACCCCAGCGCCCCCUGUGUCAGCUGCCCCUGUCCCCUCUCCGUGCCUUCCAACAACUUCGCCGAGGGCUGUGUCCUGCGAGGCGGCCGCACCCAGUGCCUCUGCAAACCUGGUUAUGCAGGUGCCUCCUGUGAGCG
rnacentral:sRNA from 1 species